UCAAACUGUCGUCGACGACAUUUGAAAGCGUUUCAAUCAAACCAAUCGAAGCGUAGCAAACGAACGGGCGAACAACCAAAUGAGUUGAUUGCAGAUGAAACACUCGUAAAAUUGCGUAGAAACAAUAACAAUAUUUUAACUCCUCCAGUGUGUUUGGCGAAAAAUUGAACAAAAAAAUAUUGAAUAAAAUAACAAAAACAAAACAUUUUGACGAAAUGUUAACAUCACGAAAUAUCAGUCUCGGCCUGUUGGCCUUAACUGUCAUCUGCGCGACAAAUUGUCUAAAUGUAGAGGUAAGAGUCUGAACUAUGAAUAUAUUUGUAUAUCAAGUAAGUACUAAAAUUCAUACAAUAAAAGUAAAGUGGGGAAAAGCGGCACACAAAAAUUUAU